rnacentral:rRNA from 1 species
CACGUAGGGUGCGAGCGUUGUCCGGAAUUAUUGGGCGUAAAGAGCUCGUAGGCGGUGUGUCGCGUCGGCCGUGAAAACCUGCAGCUUAACUGUGGGCUUGCGGUCGAUACGGGCAUCACUGGAGUUCGGCAGGGGAGACUGGAAUUCCUGGUGUAGCGGUGAAAUGCGCAGAUAUCAGGAGGAACACCGGUGGCGAAGGCGGUUCUCUGGGAAUAUCCUGACGCUGAGGAGCGAAAGUGUGGGGAGCGAACAGG